rnacentral:rRNA from 1 species
UGGGGAAUAUUGGACAAUGGGCGCAAGCCUGAUCCAGCCAUGCCGCGUGAGUGAUGAAGGCCCUAGGGUUGUAAAGCUCUUUCACCGGUGAAGAUAAUGACGGUAACCGGAGAAGAAGCCCCGGCUAACUUCGUGCCAGCAGCCGCGGUAAUACGAAGGGGGCUAGCGUUGUUCGGAUUUACUGGGCGUAAAGCGCACGUAGGCGGACUAUUAAGUCAGGGGUGAAAUCCCGGGGCUCAACCCCGGAACUGCCUUUGAUACUGGUAGUCUUGAGUUCGAGAGAGGUGAGUGGAAUUCCGAGUGUAGAAGUGAAAUUCGUAGAUAUUCGGAGGAACACCAGUGGCGAAGGCAGCUCACUGGCUCGAUACUGACGCUGAGGUGCGAAAGCGUGGGGAGCAAACAGG